rnacentral:rRNA from 1 species
GGGUUGUGAGGUUAAGCGACUAAGCGUACACGGUGGAUGCCCUGGCAGUCAGAGGCGAUGAAGGGCGUGCUAAUCUGCGAUAAGCGCCGGUAAGGUGAUAUGAACCGUUAUAACCGGCGAUACCCGAAUGGGGAAACCCAGUGUGAUUCGUCACACUAUCAUUAACUGAAUCCAUAGGUUAAUGAGGCGAACCGGGGGAACUGAAACAUCUAAGUACCCCGAGGAAAAGAAAUCAACCGAGAUUCCCCCAGUAGCGGCGAGCGUACGGGGAGGAGCGCAGAGCCUGAAUCAGCAUGUGUGUUAGUGGAAGCGUCUGGAAGGUGCGCGAUACAGGGUGACAGCCCCGUACACAAAAGCGCAUGUGCUGUGAGCUCGAUGAGUAGGGCGGGACACGUGGUAUCCUGUCUGAAUAUGGGGGGACCAUCCUCCAAGGCUAAAUACUCCUGACUGACCGAUAGUGAACCAGUACCGUGAGGGAAAGGCGAAAAGAACCCCGGCGAGGGGAGUGAAAAAGAACCUGAAACCGUGUACGUACAAGCAGUGGGAGCACAGGUUUACCUGUGUGACUGCGUACCUUUGUAUAAUGGGUCAGCGACUUAUAUUCUGUAGCAAGGUUAACCGUAUAGGGGAGCCGUAGGGAAACCGAGUCUUAACCGGGCGUUAAGUUGCAGGGUAUAGACCCGAAACCCGGUGAUCUAGCCAUGGGCAGGUUGAAGGUUGGGUAACACUAACUGGAGGACCGAACCGACUAAUGUUGAAAAAUUAGCGGAUGACCUGUGGCUGGGGGUGAAAGGCCAAUCAAACCGGGAGAUAGCUGGUUCUCCCCGAAAGCUAUUUAGGUAGCGCCUCGUGAAUUCAUCUCCGGGGGUAGAGCACUGUUUCGGCUAGGGGCCAUCCCGGCUUACCAACCCGAUGCAAACUGCGAAUACCGGAGAAUGUUAUCACGGGAGACACACGGCGGGUGCUAACGUCCGUCGUGAAGAGGGAAACAACCCAGACCGCCAGCUAAGGUCCCAAAGUCAUGGUUAAGUGGGAAACGAUGUGGGAAGGCCCAGACAGCCAGGAUGUUGGCUUAGAAGCAGCCAUCAUUUAAAGAAAGCGUAAUAGCUCACUGGUCGAGUCGGCCUGCGCGGAAGAUGUAACGGGGCUAAACCAUGCACCGAAGCUGCGGCAGCGAACGUAUCACCCAAGACAACUUUACGGAGUUGACGAUUGACGGAGCGAAGCGACGUCAAAGCGUUCAUUAAAGUCGAGUUGGCUUAGGGAUACGUUCGUUGGGUAGGGGAGCGUUCUGUAAGCCUGUGAAGGUGUGUCGUGAGGCAUGCUGGAGGUAUCAGAAGUGCGAAUGCUGACAUAAGUAACGAUAAAGCGGGUGAAAAGCCCGCUCGCCGGAAGACCAAGGGUUCCUGUCCAACGUUAAUCGGGGCAGGGUGAGUCGACCCCUAAGGCGAGGCCGAAAGGCGUAGUCGAUGGGAAACGGGUUAAUAUUCCCGUACUUGGUGUUACUGCGAAGGGGGGACGGAGAAGGCUAUGUUGGCCGGGCGACGGUUGUCCCGGUUUAAGCGUGUAGGUGUGUGUUCCAGGUAAAUCCGGUUCACUUUAACACUGAGGCGUGACGACGAGGCACUACGGUGCUGAAGCAACAAAUGCCCUGCUUCCAGGAGGCAAAAUGGUGCCGUAACUUCGGGAGAAGGCACGCUGACACGUAGGUGAAGUGAUUUACUCAUGGAGCUGAAGUCAGUCGAAGAUACCAGCUGGCUGCAACUGUUUAUUAAAAACACAGCACUGUGCAAACACGAAAGUGGACGUAUACGGUGUGACGCCUGCCCGGUGCCGGAAGGUUAAUUGAUGGGGUCAGCGCAAGCGAAGCUCCUGAUCGAAGCCCCGGUAAACGGCGGCCGUAACUAUAACGGUCCUAAGGUAGCGAAAUUCCUUGUCGGGUAAGUUCCGACCUGCACGAAUGGCGUAAUGAUGGCCAGGCUGUCUCCACCCGAGACUCAGUGAAAUUGAACUCGCUGUGAAGAUGCAGUGUACCCGCGGCAAGACGGAAAGACCCCGUGAACCUUUACUAUAGCUUGACACUGAACAUUGAGCCUUGAUGUGUAGGAUAGGUGGGAGGCUUUGAAGUGUGGACGCCAGUCUGCAUGGAGCCGACCUUGAAAUACCACCCUUUAAUGUUUGAUGUUCUAACGUGGACCCGUAAUCCGGGUUGCGGACAGUGUCUGGUGGGUAGUUUGACUGGGGCGGUCUCCUCCUAAAGAGUAACGGAGGAGCACGAAGGUUGGCUAAUCCUGGUCGGACAUCAGGAGGUUAGUGCAAUGGCAUAAGCCAGCUUGACUGCGAGCGUGACGGCGCGAGCAGGUGCGAAAGCAGGUCAUAGUGAUCCGGUGGUUCUGAAUGGAAGGGCCAUCGCUCAACGGAUAAAAGGUACUCCGGGGAUAACAGGCUGAUACCGCCCAAGAGUUCAUAUCGACGGCGGUGUUUGGCACCUCGAUGUCGGCUCAUCACAUCCUGGGGCUGAAGUAGGUCCCAAGGGUAUGGCUGUUCGCCAUUUAAAGUGGUACGCGAGCUGGGUUUAGAACGUCGUGAGACAGUUCGGUCCCCUAUCUGCCGUGGGCGCUGGAGAACUGAGGGGGGCUGCUCCUAGUACGAGAGGACCGGAGUGGACGCAUCACUGGUGUUCGGGUUGUCAUGCCAAUGGCACUGCCCGGUAGCUAAAUGCGGAAGAGAUAAGUGCUGAAAGCAUCUAAGCACGAAACUUGCCCCGAGAUGAGUUCUCCCUGAGACUUAGAGUCUCCUGAAGGAACGUUGAAGACGACGACGUUGAUAGGCCGGGUGUGUAAGCGCAGCGAUGCGUUGAGCUAACCGGUACUAAUGAACCGUGAGGCUUAACCUUACAACGCCGAAG